rnacentral:tRNA from 1 species
GGGGAUUUAGCUCAGUGGUAGAGCUAUUGCCUAGCAAGCACAAGGCCCUGGGUUCGGUCCCCAGCUCUG